UUCGGUACGAUGUUGACAUCUGGAUACGCCAUUAGUUUGUAUGAGGGAACCUAUUCUCUAUCAGAUUAGUCGGCCCGAAGGCAGUUUUAAAUUGGUAGAAUUUGUAUGAAAAUUGUUUCUUGGCUUUAUUUAUCUACUUGAAGUACGUUUUCCUGACCUUAGUUUAAAUUAUUUUCUAUAAAUUUUCAGAUAUUCUCACAAAAACUUACCUUUAUAAUAUAAAAUUAUCUUUAGGCAUAAUUUUUGUAUGACAUUUUUCAUCACUUGCAUGCAAUAGUGAUUUUCAUUUACAUUGAGUACUAAUUUCAUUUGAGAAAAAUAAUGUUCAUUCAUAAUUUUUAUUUUAAAAGUGUGUUUAUUCCUUUUGAAAAUCCAUACUGUCAUGCCUAUUCCCCAAAUACGUAACAUCGAAAAUUCGUUGGUCGAAAAUACAGAAUGAUUAAUAAAACGAAUCGGCAUCACGUUUUCUUCAACGAUGAACUGUCAUCUCACACCAAAACAACCGGAUCAUAUAACUGGUGAGUAUGGAAUCUUUUUCUGUUUUUCAUUUUAAUUUUUUUUUCAGACCCAUCUCAACAGAUUUUCCUCUAGUGGAGUUUGUGGAAUAGAUAGGUUUUUACUUUAUGAAUCUGGAACGAACGGAUUGCUACCGGCGGCAUUCCUGAACGCAAUUGGGUAAAACACGGAAUCUAAACUAGUUCAUAUGCAUCCGGACAACGUUGCCCAGAAGCAGGCACAACAAGCAAUGAAUUUCGAUACGGAACAACUGAGCAGAUGCAUAUCAGUGAAAGUUUAUUCCGUUCUGAGACAUUUCUACCAACGAAGUAAGGACACGACCGGUAUUGAAUUGAAUGAUGCUAAGCCAGAUCAACAGUGUGGGGAGACUGACGGUGUAGAUUCGCCACAGGUGGAAAUUAAUCACAAACGCAAGAUGUGACAUUAUCAGAUUCUCCCAAAGUGGUUUCCUACCAGCUAUGAAUACACCCGUUCGGAUGAUGUGACUUUUUUGCUUCCAUCAACUGCAGUCAACAGCAUCGGCUUUCCCGUAGCAGUAUCCUCCAAGCCAUGGUGGCUGUUCCAGGGGACAACAUCAACAACAGCAGCAUCUGGACCUGACCAUCGAUAGUGUUUCGAGCAACUUUCCAUAUCGGAGAUCUCGUGCUUCGCGCACAUUGAAGAACCCUCCUCAGCCACAUAUGUGUGUCAAGGAGAAAAAGGAGCUGGAUUCGAAUCGUCAAUCCAGACAACCCGAAUGCACCGAUUGCAUUAUAUAUCUUGUUUAUAUUUUAUAUGCAUUUUGUGUUUUUUUGAAUAAAAUGAUUAAAAUCGAUCAAUGUUUUUCCUUUUCAUGUUUCAUAACAAACCAAUACAAACAA